rnacentral:rRNA from 1 species
GACGAACGCUGGCGGCGCGCUUAACACAUGCAAGUCGAGCGAAGCGGCGGACGGGUGAGUAACACGUGAGUAACAUGCCUUAGACAUUGGGAUAGCCUCGGGAAACCGGGAUUAAUACCAAACGGUCUAAGAUGGACUCGCGUCCCAUUCGCGGGUUGGUGAGGGAACGGCCCACCAAGGCGACGAUGGGUAGCCGGCCUUGGAGAGAGGACCGCGACAUUGGAACGGAGAAGCGGUGGAAACUCUGCGGGAGGCAGGAGGGGUGAAUAUUGCACAAUGGAGGGAACUCUGAUGCAGCGAGGCCGCGAGAACGAAGAAGGCUUGCGAGUCGUAAAGUACUUUUAUAUGGGAAGCGGUACCAAAAGAAAAAGCCCCGGCUAACUACGUGCCAGCAGCCGCGGUAAUAC